GACGAACGCUGGCGGCGUGCUUAACACAUGCAAGUCGAACGAAGAGCGAUGGAAGCUUGCUUCUAUCAAUCUUAGUGGCGAACGGGUGAGUAACGCGUAAUCAACCUGCCCUUCAGAGGGGGACAACAGUUGGAAACGACUGCUAAUACCGCAUACGGUCUAACCUCGGCAUCGAGGAAAGAUGAAAGGUGGCUUCUAUGUAUAAGCUAUCACUGAAGGAGGGGAUUGCGUCUGAUUAGCUAGUUGGAGGGGUAACGGCCCACCAAGGCGAUGAUCAGUAGCCGAUCUGAGAGGAUGAACGGCCACAUUGGGACUGAGACACGGCCCAGACUCCUACGGGAGGCAGCAGUGGGGAAUCUUCCGCAAUGGACGAAAGUCUGACGGAGCAACGCCGCGUGAGUGAUGACGGCCUUCGGGUUGUAAAGCUCUGUUAAUCGGGACGAAAGGCUUUCUUGCGAAUAGUGAGAAGGAUGGAGGUUACCGGAAUAGAAAGCCAGGGCUAAUUACGU
rnacentral:rRNA from 1 species